rnacentral:rRNA from 1 species
AGGACGAACGCUGGCGGCGUGCUUAACACAUGCAAGUCGAGCGGUAAGGCCUUUCGGGGUACACGAGCGGCGAACGGGUGAGUAACACGUGGGUGAUCUGCCCUGCACUCUGGGAUAAGCCUGGGAAACUGGGUCUAAUACCGGAUAUGACCUGCUCUCGCAUGGGGGUGGGUGGAAAGAUUUAUCGGUGCAGGAUGGGCCCGCGGCCUAUCAGUCUUGGUUGGUGGGGUAAUGGCCUACCGAAGGCGACG